GACUCGAUAGCUCAGGUAGAGCGGCGGUCUAGAUACCCGCGGAUGCGAAGUUCAAAUCCCGCUCGAGCCA